rnacentral:rRNA from 1 species
GAUUUCUGGUUUAAUGCACCUGGCCCGCGGCCACUAGGCUUGUGAGUGCCGGCGCGCGUUUACCAUCCUUCUAGAAAACGAUUCUGCCAUUCACUUGGUUGGGAUCGCGAUCUAGAUCUUUUACUUGAAAAAAUUAGAGUGUUUAAAGCAGAAGUAAUGAUUGAUAGGGAUAGUUGGGGGUGCUAGUAUUGGCCGGCCAGGUGAAAUUCUUGGAUUCGGUCAAGACUAACUUAUGCGAAAGCAUUCACCAAG